CCUUCUGUGCUCGGGGACUGUUAGACACUCUGGGAGUGCCCGCAUGAACAGAGCAUACAGUCACAAUGGUAUAAGGAACACAGAAGCAUAAGAAAACUUGCACCGCAACCAGACCAGCGUAAGAAUGUCUACCAUCUGCAGGUUAUACCAUAGCUUGCCAGGUUUAACAUCUAGGCUCCAAAACACUCAUUGGUUUUCUGCUAUCCAGUGAUGUUGAGCAGAUCUUGAUGUCAUUUGUGGUCUGGCCAUGCUGCAUUGAAAUUGUGAAAAUACUAUGCCCAUGUGUGAACUUGAUGCUUUAAGUGGCCAUAAUAUUUUAAGUCAUCUAUUGAAACAGGCUGAAUCGUGAAGGAGGAACGGGUACUGAAGCAACAUGGCAGAAACCGGAGGAAUCAGAACAUAGACAAUUUCACUAGAACAGGUAUAUGCAAAUAUCUUCCUGUAUGUAUGUGCACUGCCCGUAUGUCUAGUGUCCUCAGAAGCCAGCAGAAGGUAUCAGAUCUCCUGAAUCCAGAGUCACACAUUAUUGUAAAACACUGACCAAAACCAACUUGCGCUAGAGAGGGUUGAUUUCAUCUUACACUUUACAGUCUGGCAUGAAGGAGAGCCAAAGCAUGAACACAAGUACAGAGACGGAACUUAUGCACAUGGAUGAACACCACUCACGGGCUCGCCUCUUCCAGUUUCUGUAGCUCAGAAAUAAGGACUUGCCUAACAUAUGUGAAGAACUGGGUUUGAUCUAUAACAACCAAAGAAAGGAUGAGCUUUAGUGUGAAUUUCAGCUGAUUUUGCCAGUGGAGAUCACAAAUACUAUGGAAUAAAAACAAACCCCCAAAUCAAUUAAGCUAUAGAUGUAAUUGCAUAGCCAUGAGUCACAGAUUUCUCCUUGGUCUUAUCCACUAAUGAAAUGUUUUCUAACAGCUAAAAGAAUCAAUGUGAUUUGUAGUUGUAGCUUUCAAAUUGUGUGAAUUCAAUUUUUAAAAAGUUUUAAAGAAAAUACACUAUCAAGCACAGUAAACAGAAAGUUAGUCUGUAUGAGGACUUUUUUGAGGAGGUUGGGCCAUGUCCACUGGCUUCUUUCCUAUAUAGGUCUCAGCAAAACUAAAAAUUGGAAGAUACUUGGCAUUCGUUCUCUUCUCUGUUGCCAUUUUCUAUGUUUUAUAUUUGUUCUCUUUUUAUUUAAAUUUUAUACUUUGUGAUGCUAGGGAUCAAUCAAGCCACAGAUUUGUAGGCAAUUGUUCCACCUCUGGGCUAACUCCCCAGUCCUUUUUGCCUAUAAUUUAAGAGCAAUUAUACUACAAAAAAAAUGCUGCCCACCCUCUGUGUACUUGCUUCAAUAGUGUCAUACACUCUUUGAAUGUUAUUGACUUUAGGGUACUAAUAUUCAGUCAUCCUUACAGUCAGAGUAUAAGUGUGUCAAUAAGCAAGGAACAUGUUCCUUGUACUCAUGAGCAGUCAGUCUCCCAAACUCACACUGGACAUGUAACUGUUUUCAUCAGGAACAUUAAGCUUAAUACUGAUACAUGCUAUGAUCUAUGCUAUGUUUAAACCAAUUUAAAGUUCAUAUUUCCUCAUACAUAUUGUUUGUAAUUGACCUCAGAGCAUUUCCCAGCCUGCAAAGACUCUUAUUUGUAACCACCAGAGCAGUCAAGGCUAUAAUCACUC